rnacentral:rRNA from 1 species
CACCAGAUAAGAACAGCUGAAUGAUAGUCGGGCUGAAGACUCUACUUGACUAGCUGAGAGGAGGUGCAUGGCCGUCGUCAGUUCGUACUGUGAAGGCAUCCUGUUAAGUCAGGCAACGAGCGAGACCCACGCCAACAGUUGCCAGCUCGUCCUCCGGGAUGGUGGGGACACUGUUGGGACCGCCUCUGCUAAAGAGGAGGAAGGAAUGGGCAACGGUAGGUCAGCAUGCCCCGAAUUAUCUGGGCUACACGCGGGCUACAAUGGGUGGGACAAUGGGUAUCGACACCGAAAGGUGAAGGCAAUCUCCUAAACCCAUCCGUAGUUCGGAUUGUGGGCUGCAACUCGCCCACAUGAAGCUGGAAUCUGUAGUAAUCGUGUCUCAAAAUGGCACGGUGAAUAUGUCCCUGCUCCUU